rnacentral:tRNA from 1 species
GCCCGGGUGACGGAAUGGCAGACGUAGCGGUUUCAAAAACCGCCGGCCGCAAGGUCAUGGGGGUUCGAGUCCCCCCCUGGGCACCA